AUUAAUACAAAUGGAUGUAUCUCAAUACGUCGAUAUUCUUGAAAAUUCGUUACUUCCUUCAGUUCAAACUUAUUUGGAUCAGUUAUAGUUCCAUUUAUUCACGACAAAUCACCUGUCUACAUGACUGUAAUUUAACUACUAAUUGGUUAUGUCGUCACCUAAAUCUCGAUGUGUUGAAUUGGUCAUCACGAGGAGCAGACAUAAACCCUAUUGAAAAUCUAUGGGCCGAUCUGGUUGCUACGCAUGAAAUUCAUAAUGCCAAUACAGCAGAUGAGUAAUGGGAAAAUCUUUAUAUACUCUGAACAGUUUGCAUUAUAGUAUUAUGUAUCAAAUGUUGAAAUUCUCUGGGAUCAAGC
rnacentral:lncRNA from 1 species